AUGCGGAAGGCCUUGUACACUUGUAGCGGGUUGGCAGUGAAACAAGUCAUUGCUUACCUCGGUGCGGACAUGGAAGGCCUUGGUGCCAUGUUUGGGUGUCAUGCACAGCUCCUCCCAACACACGUCCGCACAGAGUCCCACCAGCAGCAGGCACAGGCUCCAUGGCGUCUCCUCCUCCAAGCGCCUCCCUUCUGCCAAGCUCCACCAGGAGAUCCUCCGCCUGGUCUACGGCACACCGUCAAGCACCCAUGCCGAUGGCACCUCAUCCCCUCCGGCUUUUCCACUCCCCUCCUAAUGCAAAUGGAAUUUGUCUGUAGUAGGUAG
rnacentral:rRNA from 1 species